GACGAACGCUGGCGGCGUGCCUAAUACAUGCAAGUCGAACGCUUCUUUCCUCCCGAGUGCUUGCACUCAAUUGGAAAGAGGAGUGGCGGACGGGUGAGUAACACGUGGGUAACCUACCCAUCAGAGGGGGAUAACACUUGGAAACAGGUGCUAAUACCGCAUAACAGUUUAUGCCGCAUGGCAUAAGAGUGAAAGGCGCUUUCGGGUGUCGCUGAUGGAUGGACCCGCGGUGCAUUAGCUAGUUGGUGAGGUAACGGCUCACCAAGGCGACGAUGCAUAGCCGACCUGAGAGGGUGAUCGGCCACACUGGGACUGAGACACGGCCCAGACUCCUACGGGAGGCAGCAGUAGGGAAUCUUCGGCAAUGGACGAAAGUCUGACCGAGCAACGCCGCGUGAGUGAAGAAGGUUUUCGGAUCGUAAAACUCUGUUGUUAGAGAAGAACAAGGACGUUAGUAACUGAACGUCCCCUGACGGUAUCUAACCAGAAAGCCACGGCUAACUACGUG
rnacentral:rRNA from 1 species